UGGGGCGUGGUGUAACCCGGCAGCACGGCGGAUUCUGAUUCCGUUGGUUCAGGUUCGAAUCCUGGCGCCCCAG
rnacentral:tRNA from 1 species